rnacentral:tRNA from 1 species
UAAAUUUUAGUGUAGUUUAGCACUUUAUCUUUUGAUGGUAAAAGUAAUAAAUCAUUUAUUAAAUUUAA